GCCUAGAUAUAAACUUUGAUUAUCCGCCAGAGUACUACGAGCUACAGCUUAAAACUCAAAGGACUUGGCGGUGCUUUACACCCCCCUAGAGGAGCCUGUUCUAUAAUCGAUAACCCCCGAUAGACCUCACCACCUAUUGCCAAUACAGCCUAUAUACCACCGUCCAGCCCGCCCUUUAAAGGAUCAACAGCAGGCAUAAUUAUAAACAUUAAAACGUCAGGUCAAGGUGUAGCAGAUGAGGUGGAAAGAAAUGGGCUACAUUUUCUAACUUAGAAAACACGGAUGACUCUAUGAAAUGGUCUCUGAAGGAGGAUUUAGCAGUAAAAAGAAAUAAGAGUGUUCUUUUUAAAACGGCAAUAAAGCGCGC
rnacentral:rRNA from 1 species